CCACUGAGCCUGCAUUGGUGAG
rnacentral:misc_RNA from 1 species